ensembl:lncRNA
GGGUAGCUGUUCCCUUCUCCAGGGGAUCUUCCCAACCCUGGUCUCUCACAUUGCAGGUGGAUUCUUUACCAGCAGAGCCACCAAGGAAGCCCAGUUAUCUCUGAAACUCGAGAGACUGUCCAGUGGGAAGAAGAGAAUGAAGAUUGUCCCAGGGUUUUCUUUCAAAGAAAAUACAGCAAGAUUUGAAGAAACCAAAUAUGGCCAUUGAGUCUACAGUCUGCCCAUAAAUGGUAGUGAUAUAGCUAUUUCUACAACACUGUCUCUGAGUGUGCAACAGAUAAAGAAUAAGAG